UGGUCCUACGGGACGCAGCAGUGAGGAAUAUUGGUCAAUGGACGAGAGUCUGAACCAGCCAAGUAGCGUGAAGGAUGACUGCCCUAUGGGUUGUAACUUCUUUUAUAAAGGAAUAAAACGAGGCACGUGUGCCUUUUUGCAUGUACUUUAUGAAUAAGGAUCGGCUAACUCCGUGCCAGCAGCCGCGGUAAUACGGAGGAUCCGAGCGUUAUCCGGAUUUAUUGGGUUUAAAGGGAGCGUAGAUGGGUUGUUAAGUCAGUUGAGAAAGGUGGCGGCUCAACCGUAAAGUUGCAUUUGAUACUGGG
rnacentral:rRNA from 1 species